GCGUCGGUGGUAUAAUGGUCAGCAUAGCUGCCUUCCAAGCAGAUGAUCCGGGUUCGAUUCCCGGCCGACGCA
rnacentral:tRNA from 1 species